rnacentral:rRNA from 1 species
UACGUAGGUGGCAAGCGUUGUCCGGAUUUAUUGGGUUUAAAGGGUGCGUAGGCGGCUUUGUAAGUCAGUGGUGAAAUAUGGCGGCUCAACUGUCAGGGUGCCAUUGAUACUGCGGAGCUUGAGUACAGAUGAGGUAGGCGGAAUUGACGGUGUAGCGGUGAAAUGCUUAGAUAUCGUCAAGAACACCGAUAGCGAAGGCAGCUUACUAGGCUGUAACUGACGCUGAGGCACGAAAGUGUGGGGAUCAAACAGG